GUUUCUGGGGAGACAAUAACCCGACGGACCAGUUGCAGGAACCGAAAAAAUGUAGAAAGCUGGGGCCCGAGGAAGAGAAGGAGUAGCAGCAACAGCUGCAGGCAAGCCGAGCUGGCGGUGAGGAGCUGAAAAGCUGCCCACAUAAGCACUGAUGUAACCGAUUCUUAUCAAGGCAGAAGUGGGGCCUUCUUCCUGGUGAAACGGUGACUAACGUCCAGCCAUCGAUCCGUCAGUUCGUCUGCGGUGGCGGGUGAUGCGUCUGGUGAUAGAAGACUUUCUCUGCUUGUGUUUUUAUGUGCGAGUGUGCAACAGAGUCAUCAGUGCACACAUUGUGUUCUGUUUUUUUACGUUCUAGAUUGCAUUAAAAGAUGUCGAUUUUGAGAUUAUUUCAUUUCUUACUUGUUUAUUUUAAUGUAUUCUAGAAAUGAUUUGACUUUUUUUUUACACAUUCAGGCAUUUAGCUCAAGCACUGGCAUAAAGUUUGUCUGCUUAAAAAAAUAAAUGCAUGAAGUUGCAAUUCUUUAAUUUAAACUGACCUUCAAAGUACCUUUUCAAGUAACUUGACCAAAACUGGUGCUGAUCAUAGUUUGUAUCAUCUUAAUUGUGCUUCAUGUUUUUUGUUACCCUCUGCACCCAGAUAAAGUUUUUAUGUACUGCUGUAUCCUGGUUUUUAUCAGGGUUUCAUUGCCAUGCUUAUGAAAAGCAGGAAAUACAGUAGUUUUUAAAUAUAAGUGAGAUAUAUAUAUAUAUAUAUAAACACCCAGACUGUUCAUGCAGUGACCACUUUCAUUUGUUUCCUAGUAAUCAAUAUAUAUAUAACUAAAUAAACAUGCAGAAUUAUUCAAAAUAAAUUAUACUUUUCUUUUUUAAAGAGAUGAUAUAGUGUGAUUUUUUUAGCUCCUGCUUAGAUCAUUUAUAUCACACAUUUUUUCUAUAGCCUGCAGUCGGAGCAGGGCAGCAGCGGCCUGAUGUUACACCACUGAAUUAAAAAAUCCCGCCCCCGAUGCAAAUAUCGACUUCCCCUCCACUGCAAUUUUGUGGAGGUCAGGUGGAGAAGCACAGAUGUAAAGACUUAAAUAAAUGGCAGCUGAGUUUCAUGUAGCUGCUUCAAAUUCACUCCAGUUAACCUGCAGCAUCAGUUACUGCUAUCACCUGUGAUCUUGUCCAUAUUGCUCCAACCUGUAACAUAGGUAUGGUUUUAUUUUAUAAUGAAUACAAUUUAUAAACCUAAAAUCAAUCUAAUGGCUUAUAAUUUGGUAUUAGUUUGCCCGAUGUCACAGUAAAGUAAAGAGUUCUGUAUUGAACUAAAAUAGAUUACUUUUCCGAGUAUUUAAAGAUAAACCACAACACUAACGGAAUGCAGUUAAAUGCUGUGUUAUAGCUCACAGCCUUAGUUAGUUUGAAAAUGUUAAAAUUCUCAUCAUUUGCAUAACCACAACCACAAAAGCUCUUUGGUAUUAUCUGAACUUGUGGUGUUUCUGAUUAGUGUAGCUGUCAAAGUGCAUGAAGCUUCAAAGUUUCAGAGAGCAAAAAACAUACCAUCAGCAUUAAGUGAGGCUUGGAUGCAGACUGACCACUAGGUGGUGAUGCAGGAUGGGCUGAAGCAGCUUAAAUCCUGAUGAAGAUUCAUUUGUUUUGUUUUUUUAUACUGAAUACUUGUUUUUGCUUUUAUAUUUACUCUAUUUCAGCAUUACACAAACCUUUCUAAAUACCUGAUUGUAACCUAUUUUUUUAAAGAAAAGACAAAAAAGAAAUAUUUCAUUCCAUUUCUGAGUAUCUGUGAUUUUGAUCAAUCAGAUGUAAAUGAAAAAUAUGUCAAUAAAAGGCGCUCAGUGUCUGGGUGGUGAUAUAUAUAUAUUUCUCAUGGUUUACAAAUAACUUUUUUUUUUUCGUUUUUUAAAUGCGUCAUAGUACAUUACACAUUAUUUCCAUACAGCAGAAUAAAAUAAAUAUAUUGCACUUAAAAAUCAUCAAAACACAAUCUCACUGGGUAUUGUAUUUGCAUUAUGGCAUUAAAAACAAAACAAUUUUAAAAACAAAUCAUUUUCAGUGGUGAAUUGCGACUCGGAGGUGUUAAACAUUUACAUUAACAUGGAAAUCACCAUUCAGUCAAAGCUGUACAACAGAAAAGGACUUUGAUUUCCACAACAUGUACAUUUCCCCGUCCUGCCCACUACACAGCUGAGAUAAAAUCAAGUACUGCCAACUCUUACACCCAUGUUCUGCUGUGUUAGGCUAUGUGUGAUGGAAAUAUAUGGCAUGAGUCAAAACUGGGACAUUUACAGUGUUUGUUUAACCAACUCAUGUUGCUCUUUCAGCAUAAUUUCAAUCUUUUCUCUGUGCUGAUCACUGUGCAACUGCAGAGUAGUGUUAAAGUGACACCUUUAAUCAAAAUACACCCCCCCCCAAACUCCAUCCAUACCACACAUUUUAUCAGUAGUGAUGGGAUUAUUAAUUUUCUUUGGAGUUCAUCUUUAAAAUGAAAGUCUGUACCACAGCACAGGUUGAACUAAUUGAACUGUUAAGGUAAAUCUUUUCACAUUUUGAGUACAAACUAAUUUGAUUUUUCUGGCAUAAAGGUUCAGAUUACAUUGAUGUCAGUCUGCAUAUUGGCCUGGAUGGUUUAUCAUCAACUCCAGUUUUUAGGAUUCAGUUAUAGACCACAGAUACUGGCUAAAAUGACCUUUUAAAAUAAAUUACUAUAACUGA